rnacentral:rRNA from 1 species
GGUAACAGAUGAAGAGCUUGCUCUGAUUGCUGACGACCGGCGCACGGGUGAGUAACAAGUAUGCAACCUACCUUUUACAGAGGGAUAGCCCAGAGAAAUUUGGAUUAAUACCUCAUAAUAUUUUUAACUCGCAUGAGUUUUAAAUUAAAACUUCGGUGGUAAAAGAUGGGCAUGCUUUCUAUUAGUUUGUUGGUGAGGUAACGGCUCACCAAGACUAUGAUAGAUAGGGGGUCUGAGAGGAUAGUCCCCCACACUGGUACUGAGACACGGACCAGACUCCUACGGGAGGCAGCAGUGAGGAAUAUUGGUCAAUGGUCGAAAGACUGAACCAGCCAUGUCGCGUGAAGGAUGACGGCCCUAUGGGUUGUAAACUUCUUUUGUAUGGGAAGAAAAGCAGUUACGUGUAGCUGUCUGCCGGUACCAUACGAAUAAGAUCGCUAACU